AUUGAACGCUGGCGGCAGGCCUAACACAUGCAAGUCGAACGAGUGGCGGACGGGUGAGUAAUGUCUGGGAAACUGCCUGACGGAGGGGGAUAACUACUGGAAACGGUAGCUAAUACCGCAUACCAUCGGAUGUGCCCAGAUGGGAUUAGCUAGUAGGUGGGGUAACGGCUCACCUAGGCGACGAUCCCUAGCUGGUCUGAGAGGAUGACCAGCCACACUGGAACUGAGACACGGUCCAGACUCCUACGGGAGGCAGCAGUGGGGAAUAUUGCACAAUGGGCGCAAGCCUGAUGCAGCCAUGCCGCGUGUAUGAAGAAGGCCUUCGGGUUGUAAAGUACUGUCAGCGGGGAGGCGUUACCCACAUAGGAAGCACCGGCUAACUCCGUGCCAGCCGCCGCGGUAAUUC
rnacentral:rRNA from 1 species